UACGAAGGGGGGCUAGCGUUGCUCGGAAUGACUGGGCGUAAAGGGCGCGUAGGCGGAUGGUACAGUCAGAUGUGAAAUUCCUGGGCUUAACCUGGGGGCUGCAUUUGAUACGUGUUGUCUAGAGUGAGGAAGAGGGUCGUGGAAUUCCCAGUGUAGAGGUGAAAUUCGUAGAUAUUGGGAAGAACACCGGUGGCGAAGGCGAGUCCCUGGACAACUUCUGACGCUGAGGCACGAAAACUAGGGGAGCAAACCAGGG
rnacentral:rRNA from 1 species